rnacentral:lncRNA from 1 species
GUCACUUUAUUGUAAAUACCUCAUCAAUAAACAACAACACAUUCAACCGGUGUGUAUGGCUAUGGCGCAAAUCUCUUAAAGAUGCUAUAGAAUAAUAUAAAACAUUUGAAAUGGAAGAAAAUUCCAAAAGGAAAAAAGACGUGGAAUAAGAUAUCAUAGGUUUUAUUUCCAAAAUAUUGAGAUUCAAAACCCUUAUGCCACCUGAAAGAUGCUGAAAUGAAGGAAUUUUUUGCCCAAUACCCAAGAUGCAUUACAGCAAGGGUCAAACAUAUAUUGUGUAAUUGCAGACAUGUGUGUGGUCCCGAUUGUGUAUAUGACCUGCAGUAUGACAUCUGAAGUAUAAAUAUAGUAUGCAGGUAUGAUGCAAUAAUAAUGCUUAUUUCGUGAUAUAUCGCAAAACCUCUAAAACUUGGAGAAACGUCAUCAUCUCGAAAUAUAUUAGCAAAUAGAGAUAAAGUCAUGAAAAAUGUAAAUCCAAACAAAGACAAUAUAAGUAAACAAUGGCUAACAGUUCUAAAAU